AAACGACUCUCGGCAACGGAUAUCCCGGCUCUCGCAUCGAUGAAGAACGUAGCGAAAUGCGAUACUUGGUGUGAAUUGCAGAAUCCCGUGAACCAUUGAGUCUUUGAACGCAAGUUGCGCCCGAAGCCACCAGGCUGAGGGCACGUCUGCCUGGGUGUCACGC
rnacentral:rRNA from 1 species